UCACUAUACUUCAUUCAUCCACAGCUAGCAAAGUGAGACAUUAAUUCAAAUCAACAUGGCUGCUACCACUAUGAAAGCUUCAUUUCCACUUUUGAUGCUGCUGGGAAUUGUUUUCCUAGCUUCAUUCUGUGUCUCUUCUAGAUCCGAUCAAGAGAAUCCAUUUAUCUUCGAGUCCAAUCAGUUUCAAACCCUUUUUGAGAAUGAAAACGGUCACAUCCGUCUUCUUCAAAAAUUUGACCAACGUUCCAAAAUAUUUGAGAAUCUUCAAAACUACCGUCUCUUGGAAUAUAACUCCAAACCUCACACCAUAUUUCUUCCACAAUACACGGAUGCCGAUUUCAUCCUUGUUGUUCUCAGCGGUAAUUUAUUAUUUAUGAAGGGGAUCAUAUUUAUUACUUUAUAUGUUUGUUUUAUAAUUGAUAAAUUAAAUUAAAUUUUAAAAUCUAAUGUUAAUUGUAAUUUUUCAGGAAAAGCUAUACUUACCGUGUUGAAACCCAACGAUAGAAACUCCUUCAAUAUCGAGCGUGGAGAUACGAUAAAACUUCCAGCUGGCACCAUUGCUUAUUUGGUUAAUCGAGAUGACGACGAAGAUCUUAGAGUAUUAGAUCUCGCCAUUCCCGUAAAUAGACCUGGUCAACUUCAGGUAAUAUAGUCAGUGUUUACUUCUUAUGAUAUCAAAUAUGGUCUACAGUUGUGAUUGUAUUUAUACAUAUUUUUCUUUAAAGCUCUUCUAAUAAUCUUAUUAUCAUUGUUUUUUUUUUCCUUUUCAUCAGUCUUUCUUAUUGUCUGGAAAUCAAAAUCAACAGUCCAUCUUAUCUGGGUUCAGCAAGAAUAUUCUAGAGGCUUCCUUCAAUGUAAGCAUAAAACACAUAAUUUCUUCAUUUUUUAUGUAUUAAUUUGGUUUUCUAAAUGUUAGUAUUCAUGUUGUCAUUCUAAAUAUUGUAAAUAACACAGACCGAUUACGAAGAGAUAGAGAAGAUUCUUUUAGAAGAAAAUGAGAAAGAGACACAACACAGAAGAAGCCUCAGGGAUAAGAGGCAACAGAGUCAAGAAGAUGAUGUAAUAGUCAAAUUAUCAAAGGGACAAAUUGAGGAAUUGAGCAAAAAUGCAAAGUCUAGUUCUAAAAAGAGUGUAUCUUCUGAAUCUAAACCAUUCAACUUGAGAAGUCGCAAUCCUAUCUAUUCCAACAAAUUUGGCAAAUUCUAUGAAAUCACCCCAGAAGAAAAUUCACAACUUCAAGACUUAGAUAUAUUUGUCAAUUCUGUGGAAAUUAAGGAGGUAAGCUAAAAUUAUUUUAUAACACCUGCAACUAUCAAAACUUCACCAUCAUAAUUCACUUGUUCAAAUUAUAAUUCUUCUAAAUGAUUUGGUUUUUGUCCAUUGAACUUAUAAUGUAAAUUUUUUGUUAUUAAGUUGACAUCUCAUAGAUAACAAUAACAUGUUUUAAUUAUCGAACAUAGAGUUAAAAUAUUUAUUUAAUUGUUCUUUGAAAUUAAAUUUUAGGGAUCUCUAUUGUUGCCACACUAUAAUUCAAGGGCUAUAGUAAUAGUAACCGUUAACGAAGGAAGAGGAGAUUUUGAACUUGUGGGUCAAAGAAAUGAGAACCAACAAGGUAAGAGAAAAGAAGAUGACGAGGAAGAGAAAAACGAAGAAGACGAGACAAACAAACAAGUGCAAAAUUAUAAAGCUAAGUUGUCUCCUGGAGAUGUUUUUGUAAUUCCAGCAAGUCAUCCCGUUGCCGUAAAAGCUUCCUCAAAUCUCCAUUUACUUGGAUUUGGUAUCAAUGCUCAAAACAACCAGAGAAACUUUCUUGCAGGUAUAUUAUAUUAUCACUCUGUCUCUUUAUAUAUAUAUAUAUAUAUAUAUAUAUUAAGUAUGUAUUUUAAAAGUAUAUUUCUAUUUAAAUCAUGGUUUAAAUAAUUAUUAAGAUAUGUUUAUUUUGUGGGUGAUUGAAAAUUUGAAGGCAAGGAGGACAAUGUGAUUAGCCAGAUACAACGACCAGUGAAAGAGCUUACAUUUCCUGGAUCAGUUCAAGAGAUUGAUAAACUACUAGAGAAUCAGAAACAAUCAUAUUUUGCAAACGCUCAACCUCAACAGAGAGAGAUAGGAAGCUCUGAAACAGAAAACCGUCUAUCUUCAAUUUUGAAUGCUUUUUAAUGAGUGAACAAAUAUUAUGCAUGUAUGUUAUCAAGAGAUAUAGCUCAUAGUGAGCAUAGAAUAAGAUAAUAAAAUAAUGUUCUCUUGUAACUCUAAUUAUAUUUCUACUUUUCUAUUAUGAAUAAAUAAAUUAAGAGUAUUUUGGUGCUCCUCUUUAACUACUGUAUUUUUUUUGUUAAUAAUGUUUUAUAUUACUAUGAGUAUGAACAAUCUUUUUCCUUAAAAAAGAGUAUGUAUAAUUUAAUCAACUAUAAAUAGUUGAUUAUGCCUUUAGACUAUUACUUUUAGUUAUAAUUUUAUCAUGCAAUUAAAAGUGAGGAUGUAUAUGCUACUAUGAGUUUUUUUAUCAUGGGAAAUAUUUUAAAUCAUGAAGAAAAAUAAUAGAGGAUGGUAAAAAAUCAGAGUUCCUUGAAUUUUUUUUUUGUCAUAUUAGGAACAAAUGACAAAUUUUAUAAUAGUAUGGACAUAAAGUCCCCACCCCAAAUAUAUAACAACUAAUUUAUUAAAAGAGUCAAUAACUAAAAUACAAAUUAAAAUAUUUAAAUAAAUAUGAAUAUGUGAUACCUCAUAUUCAUGAUCUAUAGGAUAUAAUCAGAAUUAAAAAAAAACAUUAUCAAUACUAAAGAAAAUUAUAAUAUUCAAAAUUUUGAAGACUCUAAAGAAAGUUAUAAUAUUCAAUAUUUUUCAUAAUUUUGCAUAUGUUAUGUUUCUUUCAUUUUUCUAGAAGAACAGUGAUAAACUUAUGAAUGAUAGUGCAAAUAAAUAAAAUUCUAGAAAAAUAAAUGAGACACAAGAAUUAUACUACUUCCCCUUAUCAACCAAUGAUAUGUCUAGUCUCUUUAAACCAUGUGAAGAAUUUUCCUAUAUUAGAUCUUUGUACAACAUCACACGGAUGUGACUGCAACUUUCCAUUAGAUGUAUUUUUCAUGAUGCCAAUAUACUUUAGCGUUAAUAUAUAUAUUUGCACUAAGUAUGGAGUUUUGAUAAAGACAAAAUAAUAUCAAGUUCAAGUUCAAGUGUCAAAAAGAAGGAAAAGAUUUAUGAUCAUCAUUUUCAAGAGAUAUCUCAAAAGGAUCAAAUUCGCACCAAGUUAUUGGAUGGAAAUGAUGGAAAUAGACAUUGAUCAUGAAGUUAAAAGGUUGAAACAUAAGCUCCUUGAAAUAUCAUGAUUACAUAAGUCAUUGGAUAUUUAUCUAAGAGGAAUUGAUCUUGUUACAAAUGUAUUCGAUUAAAAUUCAUAAAAUCAUUCAUAUUUCCAUCUCAACUGUUUCUAAGAAUCCAUGCAUAUAUACCUUGCAUGUCAAGUCAUUUGCAAAAGUAUUUUUCAAGUUACACAAUAGCGUAACUGGUUUCACUCUUUUGGUAACCGGUUACAAGUUCAUUUUUUAUGAUAUGUUUAAAAUAUAUUAAAAGUGUAACUGGCUACACAAUUUAUGCCACUGGUUACAUAGUCUGGAACUUUGAAAAUAUUUGAACAUCAAACAGUUGUAGAAUGCAUUCUUUCAUCAACCAUUGUUAUUCUAAACCAAUGCAAACCUUCAUGAAACAUCUACCAACAUGUACAAAUCAUCUAACAUGUUUGAUAGGGUUUAUAUAAGGCAACGAUCAUUCAAAAUUAUGAUUCACCUAUUUCGCUCAAGUUUAAACAACAAUUCAAAUAUGUUUGAGAUUUUUUCUCAAUCCAAAAUCUUCAAACUUUUUUUGCAUAUAUUGUUAUUUCACUGAAAAAUGUUUAUGAGCAGUUUAAGGUUAUUAUAUCGUAAUUGUAAAUUGAAAGAGAAGAUUAAUUUUAUGUAUUGAAAUUUAUUCUAGAACAACUUCAUAUAUUCAUAUUUUAUUGAAGAGUUGUGGCACUUGAUUUUUAAUAGAAAGUUGUGUGCUUUCUAAUUUUUCUAAACAAAAAGUGGCGUGCUUUCUGGUUUAUGUGAGAAUAAUCAUAGUGAUUGAUGAUUUGUGAAAAUGUCCUUUGAAUUGGGUUUAUUCAAAUUCUAUCAUAGGUUUAGUGUGUUAUGUUAGAAGAUUGUAGAAGAGUCUUGGUGUGAGGUUGUACAAAGAUCUAACAUAGUGAAAUCCUUCACGGGGUAUGAAGGGACUAGAUGUGCCUUUGGUUGAUAAGAGGAACUAGUAUAAUUUUUGUGUCUCACUUUUUUCGUUUACACUUUUACUUUCACGAACUAUCAUUCAUAAGUUUAUCAUUGUUCUUCUGGAAAAAUAAGAGAAACGGGACAUCUUCAAUAUAAUAAAAAAUAUUCUUAAAACCUAAUUCACCCCUCUUAGGUUGCACUAUGUACUUAAAAUUAGCAUCCUAGUAGAAAAAUUAAGUUCAAGUAGAAUAAUAGGGGACAAAAAAGGUAUUUAGGAAUUUUAUAUUGUAUAGUUUAAAAUCGAAUCUAUAGUGUGAUUCUAAUUUUGAUAUGUUUUUGUUGCAGCGCAAAAUAUUCGAGACUUACUCGAAAUCAAUGAUGUCACCAUCAAAUUUAUUAAAAUUGGGAAAACAUCGAUAAAAUCCUUUUAUUUUAAAAAAAAUAGUCUUUGAAACCAAAUUUUUGUUAGGGAGUCAAUUAUGCGUAGAAGAUGUACUAGCACCACACGACAUUCGUUUAUGAAAACAAGUAUCUCUAAUUAAUUUUGCAGAAUGAUAGUGUUAACCUUAUUAUAUCGAUUUUCUUCUAAUCAUCAAAUAAGAAAUAUAACAUAUUUACAUGCAAAGGGAAAAUUUUAUUUAUUCAUUAUAGUGUUUGACAAGAUUUGAUUCUUGUUCCUACGUAUCUUACGGUGUAAUGGAGAAUUUAAAGCUACGUAGUUCUUUGGUAGAAAAUUUUUGUGUGUUGAUUGAUUUUAGACUAAAAUAUUUUGAUUUCAUUAAGGCCGAAAGAAAGUGUUGGGUGAGUAAUGAAGUAUGUAACAGUCUAUAAGGGGGUAAAUAGACCUCCUAAUUCAAAACCUUAGUUGAAAUUGUUUGAGCGGCAAGAUAAUUCUUUUGCAUAUAAAAAGAUUAUGCUUAUAGAUUGAAACUUGCACAUAAUGACUUAAUGAGUCAACAAUAUAAAAAUGAAAAAAAAAUCAUAGACUCAACCAAAAUAAACAAACCAAUGUAAUGUAUUGUGUUUAUAUCAAAACUACACAAGAUGUGUAUUUGUACAAUAUCAAUAUGAUGUGGAUUCUAUAAUCAUUGUUUACAAUUUAAUCACCAACAAAAAAAUUCAAUUUUCUGAUUCUAACAAAACCUACACUUUAACAAAUAAGUUACUACAAAAACAAAACCUAACAACAUAGGAUUCUAUGUGUGUGUGUGUGUGAGAGAGAGAGAGAGAGAGAUGUACACCUAGAUUUAUAGUGGUUCAACUAUUAUCCUUACUAAGCUUAAUCCAAUAUUUGAUGGUUGCACAUUGAAAACUUGGUUUUCCAAUAUUAUUUGUGACAAAUUAUACGAGUUUUAAUACAAUCAUAAUAUAUAAAUAAUGCUAAUAAAAACUAUCUGGAUCCCUUGAUUCAUACACAGUAUCCGAACUGAGUUCUUUGCAAAAUCUUCACAAGAAAUCAUGUUGAAUACUCCAGCCAUAAAAAUCAUGCUCAAAAGUCUUUGUUAUGCAGCGAUAUCUCCUCGAUCCUAUGAGUAUCUUAAGCGUUGGUUUCUCCGAAUAUUAAGAAGAACUUCCACAUUGUCUGUAGGCUUCCAUUCAACAUUACUAAGAUGAACAUGGAGAGAAGAAUCUCUUUCUUUUCUUUGGAAUUGUCACCAUACAACUUGUGAACGUCUAAAAUCUCAAAAAAUUCUUCAAAGAAACAUUAAAUCAAAUAACAUAAUCUUCUAAACAACCAUAAAUAUCCAAAUAUGAGAUUUAGAUUCACGUGACAAUGGAAAAAGAGUGAGGUAUAAGGUGAAAGAAAUCGUUUGCAAGUGUUCAAGAAAUAUUCAAAACUAUUUUUGAAAAUGAGAGAACAAGUCAGUUGUGAGUUUUCAAAUAAAUAUUGGAAGUGUGUGUUUUCUAAAAUUUCAAAGGUUUUAAGGGAAAAGGGUAUUUAUAUAAGCUAAAUAUCAAGAACAAAAAUAGAGAAAAAUGAUCUAUAAUUCGAGUCAAAAGUAAGAGGUGUGAUUUUUUUAUUUUACAUUUUAUUGACUAUUUUAAAUGUGUUUUUUUAAUUUUACAUUUUAUUGACUAUUUUGAUUUGAAAUUUAAUAAUUAAUAUUAAUAUUGAAAAUUAAUUCUUCUUUGCAUUUUGGUCUUUUAUCCAAUCCCAUUUUUCUUUCUAUAUUGCAAUUUAAUCCUUGUAUUACUUUGCAAUUAAUUUUGGUUUUUGUUCCUUCAUCUUAUUAAUAGUAUAGUAGUUGGUUUUUGUUCCUUCACCAUAUUUCAUGACAAUAAACAAACCCUUGAUCCAACGUCAAAUGAGAUUUUUUCAAUCAAAACUCAAAAGGCAAUAAGAUACGAUUAGGAUUGCACAUUCCAUGUAGUAGUGCAAUUCAAAUCAACCACCUUUUCACAAAAAACCUAAAAACAACAUCAACUCAUCAAACAUAUUUUUGCGCCUUAGGGCAUCACCCAGAAAAUCCUUUUUCAAGGUAAAAACAACCAACACACAAGUAUUUUUUACCAUGAACUACGAGGCCACGAAUUCCUCCUUGGCGAGCACACUAAUAAAAAACCCAUUUUCACUUUGUAUACCUUUAGAAAGAAAACAUUAAGAUAACAACACACAUUCAAGCGAAGGACAAUAUAGAUGGUUCCCAUCGAGUAUGAUGGAUGUGAGGGGUGUUAAUACCUUCCUAUUACAUAACCGACUUCUGAAUCUGCUCAUGGUUAUGAUGACCAUUAUUUUGGGCUUUUCUCGAUAUUUUCCCUUUCCUUUGGAAUAAAUAAAAUCCGAUGACGACUUUAUAUUUUUCACGUAGCGAUAACUGGCGAAUCUAUUGAGGAUUCUUCCCUAAGCAAUCCAAACCUAGUAUAGGUUGCUUCCUCGCAUGUUUGGGUGUUUAUCUUUUUUAUCUGCCUUAUCUAUUGCCUUUAACUUUGAAUUUUCAGUUGAUAUCUGUUAUGUGGCUCUUAUGAUGUGGUAUUGGAUUGGAUACUACGUUGUUUCCAAUAAACCUUGAGGGAAAGAUUCUCUACCCGAAUCUAGAGUACAAACGUAAGAUAUGACAAUGGUUGAAAAGUACGGGUCCUCGAGAUGUAGUUCUCAUAAGGGUCGGCACGAGAACCUCACUUAGAGUAUAUCCUUUGAAAAUAUUGUCGCCCGACAUGUAGUCUCCAUAAGCUUCGAUGUUUUUAUGAGGAUUAUUAACUCUAAGAGCCUUUAUAGAACCUUUAACCGUUUGGACUACUAAUGCGAUGAUUGCGUAGUAUGGGUCUUCGAGAUGUAGUUCUCAUAGGGGGUCGGUAUGAAAACCUCACUCAGAAUAGAUUCUCUUGAAAGAGUUAACGCCUGACAUGUAGUUGUCGUAAGUGACAAACAUUCUUGAGGAUCCAUGAUGUAGCGGUAAAAAUUUCGAGAUUAAGCUAUUGAUUAACUUAACUCGCAAAGCAAGAGUCACCAUGACGCUUUUAUUGUUUCUAAAGGAAAAGGAAAAAAGUACGAACAAAACCCGAAGAAGUUUUAAAACAAAACUGAUAAAAAGAGAUAAGGGUCUGGGGGUUAGUUAUGCAAAGGGAAGGUAUUAGCAUCCCAAACCUCCAUGGUAUUCCAUGGGAACCUCUUUGAAUAUGUGCCUUUUGGUUUGAAAAUGAGUAUUAUUUGUAAAAGAUUGGAGCGAUGGGAAAAAUAUAUUUUUUAUGAUUUUUGUGUUUGCCAAGACCUUUUGUAGUCUCAUGCCUACGUACCAAAAAGUGCAAUGGAGGAUUAAAACCUUGUAGUUCGUGGUAAAAAUAACAAAAAUGUUAUUUUGAUUAUUUUUUUUUGUCAUUUUAAGGAGAAUACUCAACCAGUCACCCACAACUAUGAGUACAUUGCAUCAUCAUGAGAAGGGCUCCAACUUGGAUAAGGAUAAACAAGUAUGCCACUAGCUCUCACAGAUGGAAAAUAAUUGUCAUCAAUACAAUGGAGAUAGGAGAAUUAUAUCUCAACUAUGGAAAUGACUAAUGUCUAAGUUUUAAAGGGAAAAUUGCACAAAGGCACAAAAUGAUUUGAAUGAUCCAUGCAUUUUUUUAGUCUUUUGAAAUUGGUCUAAUCAUGUUUAAGAUGGAUUAACAUUUGUUAAGAAAAAGGUUUUGAAAAUCUCUUGACAAAAGUCAAGUUUUUUUGGGAAAGUAGUUCAAGUUUAAAAAACCAAGAAGGUUUUGAAAAAGAGAGAAGAUUUUGAAAAUUGAAGAAGGGAAGGAGAAGAAGAGACUAUCCUAAAGCUUAAAGUAAAAGCUAUGAAGGAAAGAUCUAACCAAGAAAUAACAAGUUUUAUGACAUGAGCCAAGCAAGAAUUCCCUCCUUUGGAUUAAGCCUCAAGCAAGCCAGAAUAAGCAAAUAAUAAUUCAUGUAUUAGAUGAAACCAGAGUAACUCAACCAAGUCUUCAAAAGGAAAUCCCAGGUACUAGGUACCAGAUGAAUUCUAGGGUCUUAAAGCACAAGUUCCAAAGCAAAGAUCAAGAUCCUAAUUCUAAGUCCAUCACUCCACAAUGAUGUUAAUGAUAGUAACCACAAGUCCAUGAAUCAAGAUAACCAAGUUUCUUUUUUAGGUUUUUUUCUUUAUUAAUGUCUUCUUUACAAAGAUAUAAAAGGAAAGUCCAAAUGGAUAAAGAACAAAUGACAAAAUCAAAAUAAUAUGAUAUGGCAUGCUAACAUAAAGUAUAGAGUAAAUGAUAUAAAGAUAAAAUCAUAAAAUAAAUGACAUAAAAUAAAAGCAUAAAGUAAAUGAUAUUCGAAGUAAAAGUUAAUACAAUAAAAUGUUAGUAAUCGAAGAUGAACGAUGCUUUGCUCAUUUUUUGGAGAACGUUCAACUAUCCACUCACAAGUAUGAAACAUGAACAUAUACAUAAUUUAUGAGAAUGCCUCCAACUUGGAUAAAAUCAACAAGUAUGCCACUAGCUCUCACAAAUGGAAAAGGAUAAACAUUUUCACACAAUACCAUUAGGAAUACGAGAUUUACAAUCUCACUUAUAAAAAUGCCUUUGUUUUUCUUGGAACAAACUUAUCGCUAUGUCAAGCAAUCGUAAUUUGACUUAUGUAGAAGUCACAACUAUCUGAGGCCGAUCAAUAAUAAUGUUUGUGUUAAUACAUGCUAGAUAAAUAAUAUGUAAAUCAUUCUCCUAAAGACAUGCCACAAAAAAAUUGGAUGAUCAAGCACAAAGGCUAGGAGGGUGGUCCAUUAUUUCAAUCCACACUUCAUGAUAUUUAGGAUAAACUUAUGCAUCAAUCCAAAGUACAUUAAAUGAUUCAUGAUCACUUAGGAGAUAGAUUUGAAAUGAUGAAAGUUCAUCAAGUACCGAUCCAUACAUCAUGAACAAGAGGAACAUAAGCCAUCCAAAAUAUAAAAUGUAACUAAAUGAAAUAAAAAUGCACAAGGUCACACAAAUAUCAAAUGUAAUUAAAUGAAAUAAAAAUGCAUCAAAAGUAUUUUUAAAUGAAUUCUAAAAUAGAAAUAAAAUGGAAAAUCCAUAAAAUCCUUCAAAAUAUCAAAUAAAUGACCAUGAAAAUUAUGGAAGGUUGGAAAUAAAUUUUAGAAUUUAAAAAUGCAGAAAAGUAUUCUUAAACUAAUUAAAACAAAGGAGAAAAGAGAAAUUUCAUGAAAAAUAGAAAAUCAAUAAAAUAAAGUAUGAAAAAAUAAAAAAUCAGAUGAAGAAAAAUAAAAGAGAAUUUUAGAAAUUAUUUUGGGAAUUUUUGGAUAAAAAAUGAAAUUAAUAUGAAUUUUAAAAGAAAAAGCAAUUAAAUAUAAUAAAAGGAAAAUAAUAAAAAUUAGAAAAAACACAGAGUCGUGGAUCAUGACUCAUUAAUUGAUGUGGCAGAUCCAACACUCCAUAUGUUAGAGAACACAAUGGAACGUGUUGCAAGCAAAGAACACGAUCUAGUUUAAAUCCAACCAAUCAGAACAUUUCGUUCCUCCAACGUGUCUGUCCAAACUUAGACAGCCUGAGAAAAAUUCGGUCGUCUUCCCUAGUGAGCUUUCACCGAAGUUUCAUCGUUUGGUAAAUUCAAGACACGAUACCACCACCAUUGUGAUCCUCUUCUCAUCCCGAAUUCCACCUCAUACUCCAAAUUCAUUUAUAUAAACUGAGCAAAGGGAAUUUCAGAGAAGUUUUAGAAAUAAGUAAACCACGAAAAAUUAAAUUAAAUGAUGAACACGAUCAAUCAACAUCAUAUAAGUUAUGGGAAAGCAUCAGAGAGUGAAGGACUACAUUGUGGUAACUUGUUUGAAUUCAAAUGAUGCUCAGAACUACCUUAUCCAAAUGGUGAUCAGAAGUUGAUGAAGCUCAAUUUGAUUAGACCACUUCAGAAGGUCUCAGAGCUUGGGAAUUGUUACAAAAGUUUCAGAGGAUGCCGAAGGUGCUAAUGGAAUCAAGAAUUUGGAUUGAAACAAGAUGAAACUCAAAACACAAUUGUUGAAUUUUCUGGAAAACUUUCAUGUUGCAGCAAAGACUUCUUGGCUCUCCAAAACUUGCAAAUGAAUUAAGUAGCUUCCUCUAUUUAUAAGGAAUGUCAUUGGAUCCAAAUAUGUGUGAAAUGAUGCAAAAUUCGUGCAAAAUGAAUUUGAUCCGAGUGUGAGAAAAAUGUGACAUAAAACUCAUAAAAACUCAGCCAAAUGAUGCAUUUUAAGGGUCAAUUAACUUCUGGAGACUUGUUGAAACAUGUUUCGGUCCAAAGCACAUGCGAAUUUAGCUUGGAAUUGAGAUUAGUGAAGUUCAAAACUCGGGCAAUGGCAAUUUCUUCAGAUACAAGUCACUAUUUUCAACCCAAUCGGGCACCCUACCUAGGAGGCCUUUUGAUCUCAUUCUUUUUGCAAUGUGUUAAAAUCAUGGAAAAGAUUACAAUGUGCCAAAAAAGGUUUCAUUUGGAUGCUUGAGCACAAAGUUAUGUCAUGUUGAAGUUGGCAUCAAAAACUGAUCAUAUAACUUAGAAAUUUUUGAGUGCUUCAUGGCUGAAAAUGACCUGUAAUGUUUCAAUGAAUUCCAUGGCCUUCCAAGCAUACUCUAACCUUUAUCCUUGAAGUAAACUUGUAGAGGUAAUCACAAAUGAAAUUGUGUAAAAAUAACAAGCCUCAUAUGUUGAAAAUUGAAGAAGUUAUGAUCUUUGAAAGUUGAGAAAAAGUCACUUGAAAAUAGGUCAAUAUUUACUAAGUCCACAAAUGACCUAUAAUGUCUUCAAACUUUUGGUAAUCCUCCAAGCAUAAUUGGUUCUUGUCAUUUAUAGAGAAGUUGUAGAGGAUGUUUAGAAGAGGCAUAUGCAAAAAUAAGCAUUCAAAAAUUUUGAGAAUUGAAGAAGUUGUUAUCCUUGGAACUUUGACUUCAAAAUGUUGACUUUUUGGUCAAACCACUUAUAACGAGCUUGUGUUCUUGGACUUUUAUUGCAUUUCAAAGAAUAUGGGUGAUCAUAUGAACUCAAAAUAAGGUUUCCUUGAUUUCCUCCUGGUUAAACUUCUCAAAACUUAAAGUUACUUGUUGAAGAAGGCAUGGAAAUAAACACAUGAACCUUUGACUUUCCUUGAGAAGUAAGCCACAAAACUUUGAGUUGCUUUUGAUUGAAAAACCCUUACCCUGAAUAAUAAACUUAUGGGAGGCACGACAUAUUUUUGGUAUUUUGAUUAGUGGUUAGACAUAUAAUUAAUCAUGUAAAUACAAAGGUAAAAACAAAGCAACAAAAAAGUGCUUGGUGAUCCCUACAAGAAGCAAACCUAAAGAUGGAUAAGGGGAAUGACCAAAAUGUGACCUUGUUUGUGUGCAAAAGAUACAAAUGAUAUGUGGGAUCUUAUGUUUAAAAAUUAGGGUAUGAUAGAUGCCCCUAUUUAAGUUUCUUCAAUUUGGAGAUAUGAAGGUUGAAAUAUUUGUCUCGACAAGAUUGAAGAGACAUAAAUAUCAAAGACCCAAUUUUUGGCGCUAAGAUACCGCAAAAUGCUUAUGGUGUGACAUGAAUGCAAACCAGGAUCUCUGUGAGGAAUAACAAUUUCCAUAGGGAGAACCGGUUGGGGACAAAUAAAGUUCUGCAAGGGAAAAGAAAAGACUCAAGAAUAACCAGUGUACAGUUAGAAAACAAAUGAACUAAAGAUCCAACGAGGAAGACUUAUGAAAGCAAGACCUUUCUAGGCAAAAUAAAUCAAAAGGGGAAAAUCCUAACUCCAAUAGGAGAGGAAUAUUACCUAAAUAUCAACCAAGUGAUAACUUAACAAAGGUAAUAAGCUCAAACAGAAUGAUCUCAUUUAGAUCAAUAUUGAAGGACUUGUGCAUGGGUGUAAUGCAUGGUACCAUUUGGAAGUUUCUCAUGUUCCAUUCCAUUUCAACAUUGCAUGGCUUAAUGCAUUGCUUUCAGCAUGACUUGUGCAUGAUUUUGGACCUUUUCCAAUCAUUCUUUGGGAUUUGUACACGCCCAUGCAAGCUCAUGAUGCAAAUUGAUAUUUUUGGAUUUCAAAUGAAAGUGUGUAGAAAGCAUUAGAAUUGACUAUAAAUACAAGUGCUAUGAGCUCAAAACUUCAUCAACACCUUGCCCAAGCUUUGCCAAGACAAUUCAAACCCCCUCAUUCCAUAGAAUUCUUGAAGAUUUCAAUUGAAAUCGAGUUUGAAUUUCACCUUCUAAUUUGAAAUUCAAACUCCAAGAAUUCAUUGCCCUUUUCAUCUCAAUUGAUCACUACAAGCAAGAGGAAUCAAGUAAUUCCAGAUCAAGAUCAAGCAAAUUGGAAGCAACUCGAAGGUGAAAAUUCAGAAACUUCAUUUAUUCGAUUCUCUCUUAAUUCUCCAAUAUUCUUUGUGAUUUUUGGUUUGCUAAAGUCCUACCAAUGUAGGAAACAAGAUUGAGAUGCUUUGAGGUCAAAUCGAAGCAACUCAAAUCAUGAACCUCAAAUUUCAAAUCCAUGUAUCUUUCAAUAUACUUGGAAUUGGAAGAAAUGGAGGUCAGAUUCGUGCCCCUAAGCAUUUUUUCUUCAAAUUAGUAUAUUCAUUUUCCAUUUUUCAUGAAGUUUUGGUUGGACUAGUCCAGUGGUCCUCACCGGAGAAGAUGACCGGAGUUAGAGCUCCGGUGGUGUGUUGGCAUUGCCCAGACCAUCUGAUCUUCGUUCCACGUUUUAAUCAGGACCCUUGCUUAUGAUUACCGUGCACGCAUUGACUGGAGCGUUUGGUGGAAGCUUGCGCUUAGCCAUCAGAUCAGGACCCUUGUUUUUUUUAUUUUAUUUUUAUUUUCUAAUUUUCCAUUUAAUCUAUUUAUUUAUUUUUAAUUCAUAUUAAUUUCAUUUUUAAUCCAAAAAAUAUGGAACUUUCACCAAAAAUCUUUAAAUAUUUUUCUCUUUCAUUUUCUGAAUUGAAAUUACUUUUUGGAUUAAUUUUAAUAUUUUUCAUGAAUUAAUUAUUUUUGUGCAUAUUUUUAAUUGUUUAAAAAUACUUCUGACCUUUUAAAAAUCAUGAAUUUUUUGUCGAAGGUCCUUUGACCUUGUUUGACCUAGGAUAAAUUUCUUGGCCAUUUAUUUGGUGUUUUGAAGAGAUUUUAGGUUUUGACCAAAUUUUAUUUUAUUUUAAUGCAUUUUUAAUUUGAUUUUUAAUUGAUUGAUUGUGUAAAAAUUAUGUUGAGCCAUUUUUAUGGUCUUGUGAUGUUUGACUAUUUGUUUGGGCCUUGGUCAAGGUUGAUUUGACUUUUAUUUGAUUAAAAAUCAUUGGAUUUAGGGGAUUGAUGAAAUGUACAUUUCAUCUCCCAAAAUGAAUGAAUGAUUUUAAUUUGGUAAAAUUCUUCCCAUGAUCACUUUGUGUUUCUCUCAUUUCCCCUCCCCUUUCAUCUUUAUUCUCGUUCUUUCCCAUCCCUUUCAUUGACCAAUGAAAUAUCAACAUCCUAAGGUUAAUUGGUUCAUCAAUGACCUUGUGUCAAAUGAACCAAUACAAGUAUGGAUGAGAUAGGUCUAUCCCUUUUUUAUUUUUUCUUUUAAUUGUAUGGUAUGUUUUAGGAGUUUGAUUCAUUAUACCAAAUCUCUAACAUGCAUUAGUACCUAAAUAUUUAUUGCCCGGCCUCAAAUAGUUGUGACUUCUACAUAAGUCCAAUUACGAUUGCUUAACAUAUAGCUAAAUUUGACCCUAAAAACAUAGCAUUCUAGUAAGUGAGAUUGUAAGUCUCCCAUCUUUCAUGGUAUUGUAUGGAAACUUGGCUUUUUCACCUUCCUUUGGAAGAUGUCUUGGUUCAAGGAUCCAUGCUUGUGAAUAGAUGGUUGAUUGUUCUCAAAAGAAUGACUUAAUCAAUUGAAAAGCAAAACACCACUAACAUAUAAUUAAUCUUGACUAACAUUUGACUAACUUUUAUUAAUAUUGCAUUUACUUUAAAGUCAUUUACUUUAUGCAAUUUAUUUUUUAGUCAUUUACCAUUCAUUGCCAUUUACAUAUCAUUUAACUUGUUUAUGUUUAUGCCAUUUUCACUUUGCUCAUUUGAGCCAUAUAUUAUGAUUGUAUACAUUUGUUUGUGUAUUUUGUUUGUGCUUGUGGUCCUAAGACCUUAAAAUAACUAAUGAAUAACAAAAACCCUAAAAAAACGUCUGAGUGGACUAUUGAGCUUGAUCUGAACUUCUGGACUUAGGAUUAGGCAACAUUCCCUAUGCAAAAAGGACUUGGCCAAUGCCAACAUUUUGAGACCAAGUUAUUGUGAUUUAAGCCUUCAUCUGAUGCAAGUAUUGGGAUCUAUUUGAACUUAUCUGCUACAUGGUCUUGAUGCAACUGUUAUUUUGAUUUUAUGUCUAAUGCAUUAUUCUGAGUUAAUCAAAAAGUAUUUCAUCUGAUACAAGAGAGGACAAAGAAGAAUGCUAGCUAUGGAGUUGCUUACUUGGAUGUGGCUAUCUUUAUUUGAUGCCUUGAUCUUUAUGAUGUAUGAUAUUUCUAAUUGCUUGCUAAUUAUUGCUUAAUUCAAAGUCCAAAGGGAAAGUGGGUUUUAUAUAUGACAUUCUUGUUUGUUGGAUUGCAUCUCAUUGGUCAGAUCUUUUCAACUCUUAACUUUUAGUUUUAUGCUUAGGAUUAGUCUUUUCAUAUCCUCCCACUUCUUAAAUUUCAAAAUCUCUCCCCCUUUUCAAAAACCUUCUUUGUUUGUGAUUUCAAACUUUGACCUUAUUUCAAUUAGAAACUUUGGCCUUAUGCCAUUGAUUUUUUAAACUUUUUUCCUAAAUCAAACUUGUAAAUAAAUCUAAUCAUAUUGACUUAAAAUUUCAAAAGACAAAAAGAACUAACACCCAUUCAAACUUGUGGGCCCUUUGUGCCUCUUUUAACUUAAAUUUUGAUUAAAAGCAACUCACUCAUUUUUGAAAUUGUUACCACGAACUACGAGGUUUUGAUCCCUCAUUUUUAUGUUGGUACGUAGGGACAAGUCCGAAGGUCUUGUCAAACACAGAAAUAUAAUAAAUAAAUUCUUUUCUCAUCCCCUCAUUCCAUUUUCAUCAAACAUCUUUUAUACCAAAACACAUACACACAUAAAAAAGGGCUCCCUAGGAGUACCUAAGACACUUUGGGUGCUAACACCUUCAAUUUAAAAGCAACUCACUCAUUUUUGAAAUUGUCACCACGAACUACGAGGUUUUGAUCCCUCAUUUUUAUGUUGGUACGUAGGGACAAGUCCGAAGGUCUUGUCAAACACAAAAAUAUAAUAAAUAAAUUAUUUUCUCAUCCCCUCAUUCCAUUUUCAUCAAACAUCUUUUAUACUAAAACACAUACACACAUAAAAAAGGGCUCCCUAGGAGUACCUAAGACACUUUGGGUGCUAACACCUUCCCUCUGUGUAACCAACCCCCUUACUUGUAAUCUCUGACAUUUUAUUAGUUUUGAUUUGAAAACUUCUUAUCCUUGGGUUUUGUUCGUACUUUUCCCUUUUCCUUUGGCUUGAUGGUCAUGAAUUUACCGCUACAGUGCCCCUCAGGCACAAAGUUAGGAGGCAUGCCCCAAGGGAAACCAGAAGGCGUGUGGUACUACGGAGCACUGAUGGGGUCCAUAGAGAUGGCCGUAGAGACAAUCUCAUAAAUCACGUUCCUCUAAAGCGGAAUCGAUUGAGGAGGUGGAGGAUGAUUCUGAGCACCCGCCAAAGCUUCCAUCAUAGCAGUAAGCCUCUCAGAUUCGUCCUUCAAAGUUGUCACCUCUUCACGGAGCUCACGAUUCUCUUGCUCUAGGCGGUCCAUCUUUUUCAAGUGAUUAGCUCGAGUAUUAUACUGGUGAGACCGCUUGUCUGAAUGAAGACCAAGAAAUAAAUAAGACCCCUGACUAACUUCCUCAAAGCAAGACCAAGAUGCAACAUGAUGCAUGAUAUGCAAAUGCAAAUGUUGUUUUAUUUAUUUUCCAAGGAAAUUUAAGACAUAAGUUGCAAACAUAAGAAUAACACAUUUCAAUGUAAAAGUCUCAUUUUAUUAAUAAUAUAAAGGAUUACAAUCGGAAAUACAAUUUCAAUGAUCAUAAGCGGAAAGAAACUAGAUCUAUGGAAUCAUGUCCGAUGAUGACCCAACUCCCUAACACUUCUUACUAAGUCUUUUGAUCUCUCUUUCAUAGCUGCUUUUCAUAUCAUCCUUCUCUAUCACGAGCUGUUCUACAAUGCCUUUCCAAACGCCGGAAGUAGGAAGAUGAGUAGAUGACGAACUGUUAUAGGAAAAUAAAUCCUCUUGGCCUCUGGAUCUCUUCACAGCAUGUUGCUCGAGUAAUUCUAUCAAGUUGUCCUUUCCUUUAGUUGCUAAUGCAAUUAUGCUUUCUCAAGGUGUGAGGUGUGAAAUUUGUUUUCCCAAUCAUCCCUCUCUUGCUUCAUCCUAUCCAAAGCCUCUUGCAACUCCUUUAUGCCUUUAAUAUUGGUAGUUUUGACCAUUACUAAGGACUAAGUCUUUCAUAAGUGUGUGGCAUCUUGAAUUCAUUUGCUCUCUUCUUCACCCAACUAGUGUAAGGCUCCAAAGCUACAAAAUUCCUCAAUCCAAGCUCACAUUUUCUCUUCCUAUGAAUAUUGUGCCAAGCAUGCACUAUCCUAGCUUUCAACCCUUAAGUGUCCUUCCCUUCUUGGAAAAAUAAACCUUCUAACAAGGUGUUAUUAGGUUUCUCCUUCAUAGAGAACCCAAGUUUACGUCUUCCUAAAGCAGGACUAUAGUUGACUCCUCCUUGUGUACCAAGAAGAGCCACAUUAGAGGACUCACCACAACUAUCAAUAACCUCAACGUCGUCGUAAACAGAAGAGUACCAAGUUAUAUUAUUAUUGGUGAGAGACAUAAGUCUUUGAGACCACCUUAAACAACCCUUGUUUUCUUGGAAGACAGGACACUGCGGCAAGUGCAAAAUAAACCACUUGUACAGUAAAGGCGCAUAACAAACUAUAGUUCCACCCCCUUUAGAAGUCUUAUGAUGAAUGGAUAAAUAAGUAUCACUGAGAAGGGUUAAAACCAGAUUCAUAAUCAAAAAGAUCCUCACAGCAUUAACAUCAACAAAAUUGUCAAUGUUAGGAAACAAGAUCAAACCAUAGAUGAGUAAGGCAAGAACAGUCUCGAAAGCCACCAUACUAUUAGCAUUAGAAAAAUAAAAGGCCUUUUCCAAUAGAAAUUUUGAAGUCAACCCUCUGAUACCUCCUUUGACAGUGAGAUUGGUAUCUAUAUCAGACUUCCUCAGAUGAAUGGCUUUGGUAAUAACCCGAGAUUUAAGAAUUCCUUCCACCCUACUAAAAGGAAAUCUAUCAGAAACUAGUACACCUAAAAGGUAAGCAUACUCCUCCAUGGUAGGAAACAACUGAUAAUCAGGGAAAGUGAAGAAUCGGUAGAUCGGAUCAUAGAACUAAACCAAAGUGAAGAUAAGACCAUCCUCAAUAUCAGUGGAUAGCACAGACAAAAGUCUUCGAAGACGGUCUCUGAAACCCUUAAGAUUAUCCACAAGAGAUGCUAGCUUCCUUAAUUCCAUGAGGUCAGGACAUCUGAAACUAUAUUUCUGAGUAUUCCUUCUUCCAAUAUCCAUGAUCAAAAUAUUUGAUAUGUCUGCAACAAGAGUCUCUAAGUUCCUCGAAAAUUGUGUAAAAUUCUUAUGAAUGCCAUGAGUGCAUGAUGCAUCAAUCACAAACAACGUCACACAAAGCACACAAACAAGGUCACACAAAGCACACAAACAAGGUCCAAAGGUUUGGAGUCACGAGCAUAGAGCCAAGGGUAAGAACCAACCCAAAGUGUAUGUACUAAAGAUAUCAUCACCUGUAGAACAAGGUUCUAAAAAGCUCCCAGAGUCGUAAUUCCAUCUUUUGGAUAUUAUCGGUUUAUACGGAUACUCAUUAACCAAUAAUAUCCUCAAGAGAAACUCGUCCGAGUGUAGUAUCGUGUAACAACUAAUUAAAGUCUGCACCUGAAUAGCCACCACACUACGUCCUAAAAGACCAAGAUGGGUUAAGGGUUCUAAGGUCCUCAGCUUCUCAGGCUCCCAGGUAUAAAAAAAAGUAAUGCCAACUACGAUUACUCUCGUGACAUAAGUAAUCCCAAAGGGGGCUCCACUGAGUGGGGGAUCUCAAGUCAGCUUAUUAAGGAUUAACUCCACGUAAGUCGAACAUGAUUAUACCACCCUCCUAUCAUAAGAGCUAUCAAGUCUAGGUAUAGGACUUAUCUCACCAUACAGAGAUCACCAAGCACCAGACAGAACAAACAAUAACAAACAACAACAAACAUAAUAUAUACAUAAAAACAAAUAUGGGCUUAACCCACUAGGGACUACUCCCCAACAGAGUCGCCACUUUUCUGUAGCGGUAAGAUUUUUGAGAUUAAGCUAUUGAUUACCUUAACUUACAAAGCAAGAGUCGUCAUCACGCUUUUAUUGUUUCCAAAGGAAAAGGGAAAAAGUACAAAUAAAACCUAAAGAAGUUUUAAAACAAAACUAGUAAAAAGAGAACAAGGUUUUGGGGGUUAGUUAUGCAAAGGGAAUGUAUUGGCACCCUAAACAUCCAUGGGAACCACUUUGAAAAUAGGCACAUUUUAUCUUGAAAAAGGUGUUGUUUAUUAAAAGAUUUGAGGGAUGGAAAAAGAAGCAUUUUUAUUAUGAUUUGGUGUUUGCCAAGACUUUUUAAGUCUCAUGCCUACGUACCAACAAAGUUAAGUGGAGGAUUAAAACCUCAUAGUUCAUGGUAAAAAUAACAAAAAGAGUUUGUUUUGAUUCAUUUUUAUGGAAAAGAAAUUUUGUCAUUUUAAGGAGAAUACUCAACUAGUCACCCACAAGUAUGAGAACUUUGCGUCAUCAUGAGAAGGGCUCCAACUUGGAUAAAAUCAACAAGUAUGCCACUAGCUCUCACAAAUGGAAAAGGGGCAAAAUUUUCACACAAUACCAUGAGGAAUAGGAGACUUACAAUCUCACUUAUAAAAAGGCCAUUGCCUUUGGGACUAAUUUAGCGCUAUGUUAAGCAAUCAUAAUUGGACUUAUAUAGAAGUCACAACUAUCUGAAUUCGGUCAAUAAUAAUGUUUGUGUUAAUACAUGUUAGAAAAAUGAUUUGUAAAUCAUCCUCCUAAAGCUAUGUCACACAAGAAAAUAAAAUGAAAGGGGAUGAUCAAGCACAAAGGCUAGGAGAAUGGUUCAUUGCUUCAAUCCAUAUUUCAUGAUACUUAGGAUAAACUUAUGCAUCAAUACAAAGUAUCUUAAAUGAUUUAUGAUCACUUAGAAGGUAUAUUUGAAAUGAUGAAAGUUCAUCAAGAAGCAAUCCAUACAUCAUGAACAAGAUGGACAUAAAUCCACCCAAUUGAUCAAAAGGAAAAUAAGGGGAUGAAGAAUAAAUUGGACAAUAGAGGUCACACCCAAAUUGAAUCAUAAAUUUGAUCAAGUCAUCAUCAAAAUCAAUCAUCCAUUUUGGUGGAUUGGAGUUUUCACCCUAUCAACACCAAAGAUCCAUUGAGUUUGAUGAGACUUGAAGUCAAAAUCAUCAUGAUCCAAGGCUAACAGAAAUCCACAAGGUCAAACAAGUUAAAAAUGCAAUUAAAUGAAAUAAAAAUGCAUAAAAGGUAUUUUUAAAUGAUUUUUAAAAUAGAAAUAAAAUAGAAAAUCCACAAAGUCCUUUAAAAUACCAAACAAAUGGCCAAGAAAAUUAUGGAAGGUUGAAAAUAAAAUGAGAAACAUAUAAUAAAAAAUUCAGAAUUAAAAAAUACAUAAAAGUAUUUUUAAACCAAUUAAAACAAAGGGGAAAAGAGUAAAUUCAUUAAAAAAAAUAGAAAAUCAAUUAAUAAAAUAUGGAAAAAUAAAAAUCAGAUAAAGAAAAAUAAAAGAUAAUUUUAGAAAUUACUUUGGGAUUUUUUGGAUAUAAAAUGAAAUUAAUACGAAUUUUUACAGAAAAAAGAAACUUAAAAUAAUAAAAGAAAAAGAAUUAAAAUCAGAAGAAAAAAAACAUGAGCGUUGGAUCACGCCUCAUUAAUUGACGUGGUAGAUCCAACACUCCAAAUGAUGAGAAACAUGAUGGAACAUGUUGCAAUCAAAAUAAAGGGUCUAGUUUUAAUUUAACCAAUCAAAACAUUUCAAAAUACCAACGUGUCUGGUUCAAACUCAGACCACCUGAGAAAUACUCAGGUCAUCUUCUCCGGUGAGCUCUCACCGGAGUUUCAUCGUUUGGUAGCUUCAAGACACGAGAACACCACCAUUGUUAUCCUCUUCUCAUCCCGAAUUCAACCUCAUGCCUCAAAUUGAUUUAUGAGAAAUGAGCAAAGAGAAUUUCAAAGAAGUUUCAUAAACAAGCAAACCACAAAAAAUUAAAUUAAAUGAUGAACACGAUCAAUCAACACCAGAUAAGUUAGGGGAAAGCAUCAGAGAAUGAAGGAUUACAUUGUGGUAACUUGUUUGAGUUCAAAUAAUGCUCAGAACUACCUUGUCUGAAUGGUGAUCAGAAGUUGGUGAAGCUCGAUCUGGUUAGAACACUUCAUAAGGUCUCAGAGCUUGGGAAUUGUUGCAAAAGUUUUAGAGGAUGCCGAUGGAGCUAAUGGAAUCAAGAAAUUGGAUUGAAAUAGGCUGAAACUCAAAACACGAUAGUUAAAUUUUUUGGAAAAAUUUCAAGUUGCAGCAGGGGUUUCUUGCCUCUCCAAAGAUUGAAAAUAAAGGAAAUAGCUUCCUCUAUUUAUAGGCAAUGUAAUUGGAUCCAAAUACGUGUGGAAUGAUGCUGAAUUCGUGCAAAACGAAUUUGAUGCAAGUGUGUGAAAAAUGUGACUUGAAACUCCUCAAAACUCAACCAAAUGAUGCGUUUUAAGUGUCAAUUAACUUCUGGAGGUUUAAUUAAACAUGUUUAAGACCAAAAAACUUGCUAAUUUGACUUGGAAUCGAGUUUAGUCAUGAUCAAAUUUCAGGCAAUGGUGAUUUCUUUAGUUUCAAGUUACCAUGUUCAACUCAAUGCAGCAUCCUAUUCAAGAGGCUUUUUGAUCCCAUUCUUUUUGCAAUGUUGUCGCAACCUGAAAAAUGGAAUGCGAAAAAAACAACCGGCGAAGAAAGACAGGAGAUCGCCACCGUACGUUAUUUAUCCCAAAGGAGGGAAAGGAAACGCUCGAAGUAAACCUGGAAAAAGGAAAGGACAAGACAGGGUCUCGCAACCAAAUCUUGGGUUUGGGAGUCGAUUAUGCGAAGGGAAGGUAUUAGCACCCCUACGCAUCCGUAGUACUCUACGGGAUCCACUUUUGUAGUUCUUGUCUAAAGGGUGUGGGUUUAUCUAAUGUGUUAUUUACUAAAAAAAAGGGUCAAAAGAAAAUGACUCGCACGGAUGUCGCAUCCACUGCAUAUGUAUCUCAUAUGAAUAUGAGAAUCAGAGUCUUCGUAGCUCGGCUACCUAGGGGUUAAGGGUAAUUGUGCUCGCUAAGACAUCGCGUCUUAUGCCUACGUAUCUCAUCUGGAAUGAGAAUCAGAGCAAGCCGUAGUUCGGCUAACUACGGGGUUAUGGAUUGGGUUUUGGACGAACGACGUUACUACGCAAUCUACCGGAUGCUCGACCUUUGGAGACUUACUCGCCUGUAGUAGAAGGAGUAAACGUGUUGCUUUGGGUUUUAGGGUUUGGGAUGCUCGAGGGCAAAAAGGCAGUCCUUGACGAAGGAACCGCGCUACCUGCAGGGAUACGAACACAUACAAAACAAACAUGUAUAAAGUAAAUGUGCCAACAAGGGGCUCAGAAGUAAAUAAACAAAAGAAAACAAAUGCCUCCUAUCGAGGUCUUCCAGCUAAGAAAGCGAUAAAAUGCGGAAAAGAGGUAAAAGUACCACACGGAUAAAGAUCCGAAGUAACAGCAAUUAAAGGAGUAAGAAACCCAGGGAUCUCCCAAGCUAAUGCCAUCAAAGAAAGGUGAGUCAGUACAGGUAAUCGGAAUGAACCUCCAGGGGGUAUCCCACAAAUAAAGUGGGAAAACCACGCAAACCAUCUCUGCAAGAGUCUGUGAGCCCUCACAAAAACUCAACAAAAGGGUUAGUGAAACACGAUAAGCAUUUUUUUCAUGGAUAACAGUAUGGUUUCAGAAACCUCAAACCCUGUGGCAUACAUUUCAGAAAUCAUGUGAUUAAACAUUCAAGGCAUAGGUUUCACCCAUUCAUGCAUAAUUAAACCCGUGGGCAAAAACAUAAUGAAAUUCAUCCAUCAUACCUCAUACAUUCAGAUGAUCCAAAUUAAGAGCAUAAAAUCAUGGGAAUGAGGCAAACCUGAUGGGAGAGACCGGUUGAAAUCAAAUGGCACGGCUGGGUUUGCAAGGCAAUGUUAGGGUUUGCGUGAGAUGAAAGUGUGUGAGUCAGAUUGAAUUUUUCAGAGCUGCCUGGGGGUUGCUCUGAGUUCUCUGUCAGGUUUCUCUCCAGGUUUUGUCCAGGGUUUUGUUCCAAGGAAACCUCAGAGUAUUUUGCUUCUCUUCCUUCUUCUGUCUGUUUUGUUUCAAUGAAACUCUAGUAUUUAUAGGCUAAUAUUGGUAGCUUAGUGGGCUUUUGAGAGAGGUCCAAGUUUAAGAUUUUUUCUUUUAUUUAUUUAUUCAUUUAAUUAUUUAUUUAUUUAUUUAAUUAUUUAUUUAUUUAUUUAAAUUUAUUAUUUUAUUUUAUUUUCGUUUUUUUUUUCGUUUUUUUUCGUUUUUCUUUUUUUUUCUUUUUUUUUUAAAUAAAGUUUCUUGGAUCUGAUUCUGAUUGACAUGAUGAAAUGCAAUAUGAAAUAUUAAAUGACCUAAAAAUGAAUGCAUGAAUGAGGAGGGCAAAUUUUGGGGUGUUACAGCUGCCCUUAUUCGAUCAUCAGCUAACCCGAGUAGGAUGAAAUCGAACAACUUAUCAGACAAACAGGGUGAGUUGUGAUUGAAUACCAAAGACACACCGAAAAUUUGCGCUUCGAGAACACCACAAAAAUGCUGAAAUACACCGCGCUGUUUAUUUUUCUUCCGAUCCUCUAGCUGAAUCUGAAUCAGUCUUCUGACUUAAUCUGGAGUUUCGAUCCUCUGGCUGAAUCUAUACCCAAUUUAGUCCUCUGGUUGGAUGUUAAUAUUGAUCCUCGGGCUGGAUACGGUUUCAAUCUUCUGGCUAGAUCUUCUUCGAUCUUCUGUCUAGAUCUUCUUCGAUCUUCUGGCUAGAUCUCCUUUGUUAGCUAAGAGACCGACUUAGAUAAAAGAAAGAUUCUCUGGCUGAAUCUACUUCGAUCUUCUGGCUAGAUCUGAAUUGUUUCGAUUCUCUGGCUGAAUCUAUUUCCGGUCUUCGGGCUAGACCUGACUUGAAUGAGGAGGGCAAAUUUUGGGGUGUUACAACUGCCCUUAUUCGAUCAUCAGCUAACCCGAGCAGGAUGAAAUCGAACAACUUAUCAAACAAACAGGGUGAGUUGUGAUUGAAUACCAAAGACAGACCGAAAAUUUGUGCUCCGAGAACACCACAAAAAUGCUGAAAUACACCGCGCUGUUUAUUUUUCUUCCGAUCCUCUAGCUGAAUCUGAAUCAGUCUUCUGACUUAAUCUGGAGUUUCGAUCCUCUGGCUGAAUCUAUACCUAAUUUAGUCCUCUGGUUGGAUGUUAAUUUUGAUCCUCGGGCUGGAUACGGUUUCAAUCUUCUGGCUAGAUCUUCUUCGAUCUUCUGUCUAGAUCUUCUUCGAUCUUCUGGCUAGAUCUCCUUUGUUUCGAUUCUCUGGCUGAAUCUAUUUUCUUUGAUUCUCUGGCUGAAUCUACUUCGAUCUUCUGGCUAGAUCUGAAUUGUUUCGAUUCUCUGGCUGAAUCUAUUUCCGGUCUUCGGGCUAGACCUGACUUCGAUCUUCUGGCUAGAUCUUCUUCGAUCUUCUAGCUAGAUCUCCUUUGUUUCGAUUCUCUGGCUGAAUCUAUUUUCUUUGAUUCUCUGGCUGAAUCUACUUCGAUCUUCUAGCUAGAUCUGAAUAUUUUCGAUUCUCUGGCUGAAUCUAUUUCGAUCCUCUGGCUAGAUCUGAAUUGUUUCGAUUCUCUGGCUGAAUCUAUUUUCGGUCUUCGGGCUAGACCUGACUUCGAUCUUCUAGCUAGAUCUUCUUCGAUCUUCUGGCUAGAUCUGAAUUGUUUCGAUUCUCUGGCUGAAUCUAUUUCGAUCUUCUGGCUAGAUCUUCUUCGAUCUUCUGGCUAGAUCUCCUUUCUUUCGAUUCUCUGGCUGAAUCUAUUUUCUUUGAUUCUCUGGCUGAAUCUAUCUAUUUUUCGGUCUUCGUGCUAGACCUGACUUUGAUCUUCUAGCUAGAUCUGGAUUGUUUUGAUGAUAAAUUCCCAUCAUCAGGAUCUCGCAUCUGGGGCAUGCGCUGGUUGACCCUCUUUCGAAAUCUACAGUCUUCAUGUUAGAUAUGCAGCUUCGAGAAUAUCCCACUUUUGGGCUUCGUACAUAUUCUUCAGGCUAGAACAUGUUAUAACGACUCUUCGAUUAGACUUUGUUUUUU
rnacentral:lncRNA from 1 species